UACGUAGGGGGCAAGCGUUGUCCGGAAUUAUUGGGCGUAAAGAGCGUGUAGGCGGUCCGGUAAGUCAGCUGUGAAAGUCAAGGGCUCAACCCUUGAAUGCCGGUUGAUACUGUCGGGCUAGAGUCCGGAAGAGGCGAGUGGAAUUCCCGGUGUAGCGGUGAAAUGCGCAGAUAUCAGGAAGAACACCAAUGGCGAAGGCAGCUCUCUGGGACGGUACUGACACUAAGGCGCGAAAGCGUGGGGAGCGAACAGG
rnacentral:rRNA from 1 species